AUUUUUUUUCCUAAAUAUCUUUCCCUUUCUCCUGUGUCCUAAAUCUCUUUAUCCUCUUUCUCCAUUGUGAAGACCACAUCGCCUGAUUGAUCAGCCACCGCGAAUGCCGCCGGUGACGGUCGAACACGACUGUUGAAGAUAGACGCCUUUUGAGGGUCGAACACCGCUGAAUCUUGUUGAGGGUAGAACACCGUCGCCGCUGCUGAACGCCGUCCCCGCCGGUGAACGUGGUCGCCGCUGGACGCCGAUGAACGCUGCAGUUCGUCAAUCUUUGGAAUCAGAACUCGGAGAGGAUAAUUGGCCGCGGUAGGAUGCUUGAUGGUCUCUACUACUUUGAUGAAGGUGACAAAUUCAAUUCGAGGAGGAAUUCUUUUGAAGAGCGAGAGGAUGAUAUGAACCAAUGGGCUCCCUUUGACAUGCCUCAUAGACUGAUUACAAGAUCAAGAGCUAGGAAACUUCAACGAGCCUUACUACUUCGUGUUCAAGCAUUGGUGAGCUCAACAAUGGAAUUAAAGGAAGAUGUGCAAGAUGUGCAAGAUAUUGGAAUAAUUCACUAUAAUUUGGUGCAACUUAUGCAUUUCUAAGUAUUUUUAAGGCAAGUAAAAUUCAACUUGGUCAAGGUCAAAGCCAGCUCAUUCAAGUCAAAUCAAAGUCAGUUCAUUCAAUUCAAAAUCUAAGUCAAACACUCACAUCUCUCUUUAUGGACUAGAUUGCAAUUUAUUUUGUUGGCUCUCCAUUUUGUUGGCUUUUUCAUUUGAUUGUCUUUCCCUUUCUUGAAGUUACGUCUUUUCAUUUGCAACCCUUUUCAUUUCUUGUAAGUUAUGUUUUUUCAUUUACAAGUCUUUUCAUUUCUUGUAAGUUAUAAGUCUUUCCAUUUGUUUAAGACUCUUCAUAUGGCAUGACAGGAGGGCUGCAUAUAGCCUUGAGGUUCCUUUAUGUAGACACAAUUUGAAACUUGAAUGAAAAGUGAGCUUUC